CAAUGGCUGGCGUGGGCAAUUAUCAUCAUUAAAGUAGGCUAACAGGUAAAAGGUGAAUAAAGUCUUAACAGGCAUGUUUUGCCAUUUAAAAGAUUCCUAAUCUUUGUGUCCACCCAUUUCCUCCCGCUUUACUCAUCAGAAUGACUGUAAAUCUCACUCUAGAUAAGAACAACUGAACUUGGGCACACAGCAGCCGAUGGUGCAGGGGUGAUGAGAUGCGAAAAGGUGCUGAUCAUAAUCACAUUACUGUGGAAAGGCAGCUGGUUGUAUACGGAUACAUUUUGUUUAGGCAGUUGGGAAUCUUGGCCAGGUCCCCAAUGGUAAUCACACACAUGCACAGGUGCUGCCCUUUCGAGGAGGGUUCAGCCAGCCUUUCCACCAUCAUGGAAGCCUUGGUGAGCCCCUUGGGAGGGGAGAGACGCUGCCCAUUGCCUCUCCUCCAUCUUGGGAACCUCAGUGCAGAGGAACCCAGGUGCCUGGCCAUUUACCCUACACUGUGGGUCAGGCAGUCAGCACAGGAGGUGCCCGAGACUCAGCACCCAGCUCAUCCAAAGGAACCCAAGGUAAAUCCACUCUAACAAGGGAAAACACUUUGCAUACAAC
rnacentral:lncRNA from 1 species